UCAUCAGUUUGUCCCAUUAGAAAUCAACAUUGAUUCCACAGAGGUAAUAUUUAUGCUAAUCUAAUCCAUCACAAUUUACACUACUCAUUUUUGUUGCUGGAAUGUAGGUACUUGCUCUGGCAAUUGGUAAUUACCCAUGCAUCAUGCACACAUACAGGGAAGAGAAUCCAGAUAAACCUGUACAAUAUGAAGCCACACAAAACUCAACAGAGCAGACUCUCAUUCUGCACCAACUACCAACCCUUUUGUAUCAACAACUUAUGGACGGCCAACUGGGCAGUGCUUGCUUAAGAAACACAACAAUGCCUACAACAAAUAACAUGUAUUUUUGUAUUACUGAAC
rnacentral:lncRNA from 1 species